rnacentral:lncRNA from 1 species
UAGCUCCUUCAACAGACUAUGCAUCAUAUUACUCAUACAUACAAGGGUUGAACACUUUUCAAAUGAAUGGUGAGGACUUAUCUUGGCCUGAAACUGUUUCCAUACACAACGAAUAUCAAGACAAGAAUAAUAGGAGAUUUGGCAUCAAGGGAGUAGGAGAUAGUAUGGAUAAACCUACUGAGAUGCAGCAUGGAAAUGUUCCAUUAGGGUUUCCUGAGUUACCAACUAUGAACCUUUAUGUACCAUUGAGCAAGCGUUCAGUCCUUGUAGGAGAUACUUCUCAAUCUAGAUCUGAUACAAAUUAUAAUCAACCUUCACCUAACCAUCAUCUUGUGGGUCAGAAAACCUUACGAUCGGAGGGCGGGACGUAUACAGAAUCAUCAAAUACUUCUCACAUAUUGGGCAGAGGGAAAGAUCAUGCAAAGAACGAUCACAUCAAUAUACUUGAGCAUGCAGAAGAAGUUUUUGACAGUGAAAAAAUCAUACCCACAGAAACCAGGCAAGUAUGCUCAGAUAAUGGUCAGGCUGAACCUAUGGCAGAGAAGCAAGUUUAUUCUCCAGGCCAAAAAGACAAAGAGGGCAAACUUGAGGUUCGAAAAGCAAGGAAAACAAAACCUGAGACCAAAAAAAAGCAUGAAGAUGACUGGGACAAACUAAGGAAGGAGGUACACGAAAAAGGUGCAAAGAUAGAAAGAAGCACAGAUACAAUGGAUUCGCUGGACUAUGAAGCAAUAAGAUGUGCCUCUGUUAAAGAGAUAUCUGAUGCUAUCAAAGAAAGAGGGAUGAACAACAUGCUAGCAGAACGAAUCAAGGUAUGCACAACCACUCAAGUUUGUAGAGCAGAGUUUUUAUAUUUUGUUUAAGAACAUUGAAAUUUAACAAAAAUGAAAUAUGCUUAGACAAAGGAGUUAUAUGGUAUUUCAGGAAUUCCUGAACAGAUUGGUGAAAGAACAUGGAAGCAUUGACCUUGAAUGGUUAAGACAUGUCCCCCCUGAUAAAACAAAGUACGUGCCAAUAUCUUCUAUCACCUUAACCAAUGUCCUGAAACCCUAUCUUUAAGAAAGUUUCUAUUUAGCAGACAUUGACCCUAAAUAACAGAAUAUAAUGCAAACUAACCAUGUCUUUUCUACUGGUUUCCAU